AGAGUUUGAUCAUGGCUCAGAUUGAACGCUGGCGGCACGCUUAACACAUGCAAGUCGAACGGCAGCAUGUCAGGUACUUGUACUUGAUGAUGGCGAGUGGCGGACGGGUGAGUAAUGCGUAGGGACCUGCCUGGUAGAGGGGGAUACCUUUGGGAAACUGAAGUUAAACCCGCAUACGCUUGUGUGUUGAGAGACAGACAAGGAAAGGAUGGGAUGUUGAGAGACACCAUUUGCUACGAGAGGGGCCUGCGUUGGAUUAGCUGGUUGGUGGGGUAAAGGCCUACCAAGGCGAAGAUCUAUAGCUGUUCUGAGAGGAAGAUCAGCCACACUGGGACUGAGACACGGCCCAGACUCCUACGGGAGGCAGCAGUGGGGAAUAUUGGACAAUGGGGGGAACCCUGAUCCAGCGAUGCCGCGUGUGUGAAGAAGGCCUGCGGGUUGUAAAGCACUUUUGAUAGGGAAGAAGCGAGAGAGGCGAAUAGUCUUUUAAGUUGACGGUACCUAUAGAAUCAGCACCGGCUAACUCUGUGCCAGCAGCCGCGGUAAUACAGAGGGUGCAAGCGUUAAUCGGAAUGACUGGGCGUAAAGGGCGAGUAGGCGGAUGGAUAAGUGAGGUGAUAAAGACGUGGGCUCAACCUGUGGGCGACGCCUUAGACUGUUUAUCUAGAGACGAGGAGAGGGGAGUGGAAUUUCCGGAGGAGUGGUGAAAUACGUAGAUUUCGGAAGGAACACCGGUGGCGAAGGCGACUUUCUGGCCUCGUUCUGACGCUGAGGAGCGAAAGCGUGGGUAGCAAACAGGAUUAGAUACCCUAGUAGUCC
rnacentral:rRNA from 1 species